rnacentral:rRNA from 1 species
AUUCGCGGCCUAUCAGCUUGUUGGUGGGGUAACGGCCCACCAAGGCGGUGACGGGUAGGUGGUCUGAGAGGACGGCCAGCCACACUGGGAGUGAGACACGGCCCAGACUCUUACGGGAGGCAGCAGCAGGGAAUAUUGCACAAUGGGCGCAAGCCUGAUGCAGUGACGCCGCGUGAGGGAUGAAGGCCUUCGGGUUGUAAACCUCUUUCAGGAGGGAAGAAAAUGACGGUACCUCCAGAAGAAGGCCCGGCCAACUACGUGCCAGCAGCCGCGGUAAUACGUAGGGGCCAAGCGUUGUCCGGAAUCAUUGGGCGUAAAGAGCUCGUAGGCGGCUCAGCAAGUCGUCCGUGAAAACCCGGAGCUCAACUCCGGGACGCCGGUCGAGGAUGCGGUGGCUAGGGUCCGGUAGAGGAGAGUGGAAUUCCCGGUGUAGCGGUGAUAUGCGCAGAUAUCGGGAGGAACACCAGUAGCGAAGGCGGCUCUCGGGGCCGGUCCCGAAGUUGAGGAGGCAAAGCGUGGGGAGCAAACAGGAUUAGGUACCUCGGUAGUGCACGCCGUAAACGUUGGGCACUAGGCCGGCGGAUUGAUUAACGUCUGCCGUGCCGUAGCUAACGCGUUAAGUGCCCCGCCUGGGGAGUACGGAAUCGUCGACCGCCGGA